CGCUGGCGGCAUGCUUUACACAUGCAAGUCGAACGGCAGCGCGGGGCAACCUGGCGGCGAGUGGCGAACGGGUGAGUAAUAUAUCGGAACGUACCCAAGAGUGGGGGAUAACGUAGCGAAAGUUACGCUAAUACCGCAUACGAUCUAUGGAUGAAAGUGGGGGACCUUCGGGCCUCAUGCUCCUGGAGCGGCCGAUAUCUGAUUAGCUGGUUGGUGAGGUAAAGGCUCACUAAGGCGACGAUCAGUAGCUGGUCUGAGAGGACGACCAGCCACACUGGGACUGAGACACGGCCCAGACUCCUACGGGAGGCAGCAGUGGGGAAUUUUGGACAAUGGGGGCAACCCUGAUCCAGCAAUGCCGCGUGAGUGAAGAAGGCCUUCGGGUUGUAAAGCUCUUUUGUCAGGGAAGAAACGGUUUCGGAUAAUACCCGGAAUCAAUGACGGUACCUGAAGAAUCAGCACCGGCU
rnacentral:rRNA from 1 species